CUACAGGCAAAUAAGCAUAAAGAUAAUUGCCAUUUUCUUUGUGGAGUAUGUGUUUUUGUAAGAUGCAAGAUCAAAAUCAUUAUUAUUAAUAAAGGGCAUAUAUGCACAUAAAGCACAGGCAUGGUGUCCUCCUAAUGCCUAUAAAACAUACCUACUCUUUUUCCCUUCUCAUGUCUCUAGGUCAAAAGACAGCAUAAUCACAGCAUAUAGCGCUAAUCCAAUUUCUCUAAAUAAGGAGGUAACAUUUUGGGGGAGGAAAUCUCCAUAUCAUCUUUUUGAAAAAGCACAAAAUUUGCUAAUCCCCCAUGGUCUCUAUAACAGUAGUACUGUGCCCCUCACUUAAACCUUUUGGCACAUCUUCAAAAAUAGGAUAAAUAGGUUCUUCGGGUGCCUGGAUCCUUCAGGGAACUGAGAAUUGGGGUCUGGGAGGAUGGGACUGGAAGGCAUAUAAAAACUGUUGCUUAACAUUUAAGUGAGCACCAAUAAUAUAUUAAGCGUGAACAAAAUAUAUAAAACAACCAGACACUCACUGCCCACUGGGCUGUUUCAAUGUGCAGAUGAACUAGAUUUCAGAAAUUCGGUUACGAUAAUUUUCUCAAGGGAAAAGAGUGAGGUCUAGACCGUUAGCGGUGUUGGAGUAGCAGCAUUUCGUCAAUCCUGGUCUUCUCCAGGGGAUCUCCUAAGGUGUUGCAGGAUAGGUUUUUCUGAUAUCUUGACUCCUGAGGACAGAUUGUUUUUGAGAGAAAGAGCUGGUUCUUUUCAGGGAACUUCCCCGCUGGCUAUUGCAGUCAAAUUGAGAGCAACCAGGAGGAAGUAGGGAGGUAAAGUUGGAAGAAGGGAAGAAAAGAUGGGAUUAAAAGGAGAGAUACAUGAUUGAAGCAAAGAGGCAACGAGAGGCAGAGAUUAGGAAGAAGCAUUUAUUAAGCUCCUACUAAAGAAGAAAUAAUAGGCAGGAGCAGAAUGGUGGCUAGACUUGGAAGGUGAGUAAAGAUAGUUAAUCUUGAAUGAAGACCGUGGGUGGCAGCGGUGAGUGUGGAGGGGGAGCCCGGAGUGAUUUAAGUGGGGAGGGCAGGAGUAGUACAGCAAGGGCAGGCAAAUGUUAAUGAUGUAGCGGAGCCAUCCCUAAGUCUCGAGGCUGUCGGUUCCGGCUCAGAGAGGGUAGAUUUGUGACUCUGUAGCUAGAUCGAUGCGAAAUUAAUCGUCCUGGUCCUGUUGACAGGUGUCCCCACACAACCCAACCCGCCUGCUAAUAUCAGCAUCCCUACAAACGAAGGGGCAGCCUUCGGAUGCAGGGGUGGGUUGGAGGAUGGGGGGUGGGGAGGGCUGCUCUCUUUCUCCUCUCCAUCCCCAGAACCCCGCCCCAAAACUCAGGCCACAGAAUGCGUAUUGUGAGGGAAUGAGAAAGCUAAGAAAAGGAAUCCCGGCCCAAAAAGUCUCCUCCGAAGCCCACUCGUCCGCCACGGCCAAAGGAUAUAAAGAGAUACAGGAGGGGGGGAUGGGCAGAUAUAAUAAAAUUACACCAACGAGCGAGAAAUUCAAACCUCCUCCUCGCCCUCCCC
rnacentral:lncRNA from 1 species